GACGAACGCUGGCGGCGUGCUUAACACAUGCAAGUCGAACGGUAAGGCCCUUCGGGGUACACGAGUGGCGAACGGGUGAGUAACACGUGGGUGAUCUGCCCUGCACUUCGGGAUAAGACUGGGAAACUGGGUCUAAUACCGGAUAGGACCCUGGGAUGCAUGUCCUGGGGUGGAAAGCUUUUGCGGUGUGGGAUGGGCCCGCGGCCUAUUAGCUUGUUGGUGGGGUGGUGGCCUACCAAGGCGACGACGGGUAGCCGGCCAGAGAGUGUGACCGGCCACACUGGAAAUGAGGUACUGCCCAGAGUCCUACAGGAGGCAGCGGUGGGGAAUAUUGCACAAUGGGCGCAAGCCUGAUGCAGCGACGCCGCGUCAGGGAUGACGGACUUCGGGUUGUAAACCUCUUUCAGCACCGACGAAGCGCAAGUGACGGUAGGUGCAGAAGAAGGACCGACCAACUACGUGCCAGCAGCCGCAGUAA
rnacentral:rRNA from 1 species